CACCCGCGCCCUAAGCCUCUCGACGCCUCUCCCUUCUCCCCUCUUGCCCGACGCCACCUCUCCCUCACGCGGCAUGGAGCGCUGAUCGCCUUCUCCUUUUCCCCAACCGGCGCCGUCUCGUUUCCUCUCCUCCCCUUUCCUCUUCUUCCUCACGAGUUAGCCCUAAUCUCCACCAAAUCAUCUCCUUCCCUUUCCUCCUCCGAUCGCCGGCCAAUCUGCCACAAUCCUCUCUGUGCCACGUUGCUGUACAAGGGCUGAUCUGUAGCCAAGUGCAGGAGAUCGCCGUCACCCUCUUCCAUCGUUGCUGCCGCGAACUUUGGUGCUUGCUGUGUCGCCUUGUUACCAUUGCUUGAUCGCUGCCACUUGAUCGAGCCAGUGUCACCAGAUCGCCGGCGCGGGUGGGCGUUCAGGGCUCCGAGGGUAAGCUAGCCUUGACUGAUCCUUCUUCUCUUGACCUUUCUCUGACCCGUGCCCUAGUCUCCCCACAUCGCGUCACCCCUUUCUUCUUUUCAAUCCACCCUGCCGGGAGCCAGGACAGAUCAGGGGUCGAUGCCGUGGCUUUAGACUACUGUGUCGCUAUUCGUUGGUUUCCUAACGCAGGUUGUGGUAUAGCCGUUGAUCUCCACUCACUCGGAAUUGGAAGAUCUAAAGCUACAGCGAUUACACCUUGUUGAAUCCCGACCAUUAUAGUUAGUCAGCUGAUUUUGGAGGUGGCAAGUGCUUCCGGCUAGAAUUUCAACAGCUGCGUUUUCUGGCCGUGGAUCAAUAGGAGUGGUUGAGUUGAGGACAUUGAUUCGAGACGGGUGUCUCGAUGUAGGAUUUCUGGUCACGAUCGACUGAUAAAGGUUGAGGCCGUGAGGAGGUUCCAAUUGCUAGUCCCAUUGUCACAAAAAUUUUCGUUUUGGUCUUUUGGUUUCCUGUUUAUUCGCUUAAAAGCUAUGUUCCAGACUUGUAUUGGUUUUUGCACCCUGGAUUUUGUAUGUUUUUUCUUAAGGCAUUGGACUGGUUAGACUUCCUGCUUGCUCGGUGGGUUGUUAUUUGGUAUGUUUUGCUACGUGCCUGCCGGACGACAGAAGAGGUAAGUUUGGAUGUUUGUUUUCGAUUUUUUAUAUUGUGAUGACAGCCGGAGGCUGUACUAUAUAAA